rnacentral:rRNA from 1 species
GCGCGGGGCAACCUGGCGGCGAGUGGCGAACGGGUGAGUAAUAUAUCGGAACGUACCCAAGAGUGGGGGAUAACGUAGCGAAAGUUACGCUAAUACCGCAUACGAUCUAUGGAUGAAAGUGGGGGAUCGCAAGACCUCAUGCUCCUGGAGCGGCCGAUAUCUGAUUAGCUAGUUGGUGAGGUAAAGGCUCACCAAGGCGACGAUCAGUAGCUGGUCUGAGAGGACGACCAGCCACACUGGAACUGAGACACGGUCCAGACUCCUACGGGAGGCAGCAGUGGGGAAUUUUGGACAAUGGGCGCAAGCCUGAUCCAGCAAUGCCGCGUGAGUGAAGAAGGCCUUCGGGUUGUAAAGCUCUUUUGUCAGGGAAGAAACGGCUGGGGCUAAUAUCCCCGGCUAAUGACGGUACCUGAAGAAUAAGCACCGGCUAACUACGUGCCAGCAGCCGCGGUAAUACGUAGGGUGCAAGCGUUAAUCGGAAUUACUGGGCGUAAAGCGUGCGCAGGCGGUUUUGUAAGUCUGACGUGAAAGCCCCGGGCUCAACCUGGGAAUUGCGUUGGAGACUGCAAGGCUUGAAUCUGGCAGAGGGGGGUAGAAUUCCACGUGUAGCAGUGAAAUGCGUAGAGAUGUGGAGGAACACCGAUGGCGAAGGCAGCCCCCUGGGUCAAGAUUGACGCUCAUGCACGAAAGCGUGGGGAGCAAACAGGAUUAGAUACCCUGGUAGUCCACGCCCUAAACGAUGUCUACUAGUUGUCGGGUCUUAAUUGACUUGGUAACGCAGCUAACGCGUGAAGUAGACCGCCUGGGGAGUACGGUCGCAAGAUUA